rnacentral:ncRNA from 1 species
UCAAAUUCGAUGACGGGGAAGAGUAACCCGGCUGUAAGGUCAAAGAGAGCCGCGGUAGGUGGGAGCGCGGUACCGGAAGUUGGGUGAAUGGGCCCCGGAGAAGGUGCGGCGAAGGCAAGUAGCUGCACCCGGAAAGCCCUCCGUUAACAUAAGGGCGGGGUAUCGCCAUAAGGCCGUACCCUAAAAGAGAGCCUGUACAGGGUGGCAAAAAAGCAUUUCAUCCCCGUGGGUGAAAUGCUUUUUUUGUUACUUACGGGCUAAGUUGGGUGGCACCGCGGAUGAAAAGCAUCCGUCCCUUCG